GAUGAACGCUGGCGGCGUGCCUAAUACAUGCAAGUCGAGCGAAUGGAUUAAGAGCUUGCUCUUAUGAAGUUAGCGGCGGACGGGUGAGUAACACGUGGGUAACCUGCCCAUAAGACUGGGAUAACUCCGGGAAACCGGGGCUAAUACCGGAUAACGUUUUGAACCGCAUGGUUCGAAAUUGAAAGGCGGCUUCGGCUGUCACUCAUGGAUGGACCCGCGUCGCAUUAGCUAGUUGGUGAGGUAACGGCUCACCAAGGCAACGAUGCGUAGCCGACCUGAGAGGGUGAUCGGCCACACUGGGACUGAGACACGGCCCAGACUCCUACGGGAGGCAGCAGUAGGGAAUCUUCCGCAAUGGACGAAAGUCUGACGGAGCAACGCCGCGUGAGUGAUGAAGGCUUUCGGGUCGUAAAACUCUGUUGUUAGGGAAGAACAAGUGCUAGUUGAAUAAGCUGGUACCUUGACGGUACCUAACCAGAAAGCCACGGCUAACUACGUGCCAGCCGCCGCAGUAA
rnacentral:rRNA from 1 species